GGGACCUGCCGGAGGGUUMAU
rnacentral:rRNA from 1 species